GAGACUACCUUGGAGCAUUUGGUAUGAGAAGGGCAGCGUGAGAGAGGAUCACAUGCCACCUCCCUGCACAGAAGGCUGAGUAUUAUUUGAGGGAAACCCAGCCUUUGGUUAGGCAAAAGUGGUUAAGAAGCAUGUGAACCUUUCCCACUAUGGACUAUGGAAGGGAAAUGGCUGUAAAUGAAGGACUUUAAGACCCUAGAGGAGGAAGAGCCACUGGAUGAAGGAGGCUGAGUCCUGCUGAAUAUGCACCUGGACUUUAUAUGAAUGAGAAAUAAAGUUUCAUUUUUUUAA